GCGGUGGAUGAUGUGGUUUAAUUCGAUGCAACGCGAAAACCUUACCCACCUUUGACAUGGCAGGAAUCCUGAAGAGAUUGGGAGUGCUCGAAAGAGAACCUGCACACAGGUGCUGCAUGGCUGUCGUCAGCUCGUGUCGUGAGAUGUUGGGUUAAGUCCCGCAACGAGCGCAACCCUUGCCAUUAGUUGCUACGAAAGGGCACCCUAAUGGGACUGCCGGUGACAGACCGGAGGAAGGUGGGGAUGACGUCAAGUCCUCAUGGCCCUUAUAGGUGGGGCUACACACGUCAUACAAUGGCCGGUACAGAGGGUAGCCAACCCGCGAGGGGGAGCCAAUCCCACAAAGCCGGUCGUAGUCCGGAUCGCAGUCUGCAACUCGACUGCGUGAAGUCGGAAUCGCUAGUAAUCGCGGAUCAGCAUGUCGCGGUGAAUACGUUCCCGGGUCUU
rnacentral:rRNA from 1 species